UGUUAUGUAAACACGGAGUAGGCGCGGGCCCCUUAAAGGCGCAGCGCCGCGCCAGCCGCGCUCCAGUCCAAAAGUUAGCGCGCGGGUCCCCGCCGCCCCACCCGCGGCUGCUCGUGGCCAGCUCUCUCCCCAGCUGGAGGCGGGCCGAGUGGACACGGGAGCCGGGCCAGGGCGGGCCGUGCUGCUUCCUGGCUCAGUGCCUCGGACUGGUAAAGUGGGUGGCGGGGACGCCAGAGCCCUGCUCUGUCCUCGCGCGCCUCCUUUCAGUCCCCACGGAAUUUAAGAGGAAAUUACCUGGGAGGGCUUUUCACACCUUUGACUGUUUCUCCACCUAACUUACAAAGGAUGGCCACCUCAACUUAUAGUUCCCCAGGUGGACUUCCUCUGUUGACUCAGAUUUUUCUUCCCUGUUUGGAUUUUGAAGAGUACAAUAGAAAUCAAGUCCCUCGUAGGUCAUGAUGAUCCAGCUUUUGCCAUUGAUAAUACUCCACAAAUUUCUUCUCUUGGCUUUUAUUCACAUUCUUGAGAGAAGGAAUCUGAUUGGCUGAACACAUGUUCUGACCAUGACGUCAGAAGCUGUGGGUGAGCCUUGGGCUGUACUGUCUCUUCUGGUCCACCCAUCAAGAAUGGCAAGAAUAUAGUUUCUCUAGCAUGAGAAACUGAAAGUGUAAAUAAGGAUGAAAAUGAUUAAAAUGAAUAAUUGAUAAUUUGAAAUAGGAAAAGGUCCAAGGGUUUGGGGAUGGCAGGAGGGGAAGGGGAAUGGGAAGAAGGGAAAGGAAACAUUAUGAGAAAGA